rnacentral:misc_RNA from 1 species
UGAAAUGCGAUAAUUAGUGUGAAUUGCAUCAUCUCGUGAAUCAUCGAGUCUUUGAACGCAUCUUGCACUUGCCGGGCCUCCUGGCAAGUAUACUUGUUUGAGCAUCAUUAACAACACGUCUCUCACUGCUCCCUUGAGAGUAGAGUGGUGGGGAAUUGAGGCGCUAAGCGCACGAGUGUGUGCCUACGCCUCCUAAUUGAUGAUGUGGCGCCGAGCGACGCGCCCAUGUGAGAUACGCAUCGCACAGACGCGCGUCGCCGCUCUGCUACGCUCAGACAGCAGACUCACACGACGUGUGAGUCUCACCUCAAAAAGAAAAGAUCUCAAAUCAAGCAAGACUACCCGCUGAACUUAA